rnacentral:lncRNA from 1 species
UGAUACAGAGUUCUUUGCAGCAUUUGAUGCUGGUAAAGAAGUUGUUUGGUUAUAAAAGUUUAUUAACGAGCUUGGAGAGGCAUCCUCCAUUGAUGGUUCAGUUCUUCUGUAUUAACAGCACUACUGGAGCUAUAGCUCAAGCUGAAGAACUGAUGUUCCAUCUGUGAACCAAACACUUUCUGCAUUGCAAUCAUCUUGUUCGAUAAGAUCAAAAUAAAGUCAAUCUCAGGA